GCCCGGCGGUAGGUGUCUCGACCCGGUGGUUUGUGAUUUUAUCCGACAAGUUCUCCGCUCGUUUAUGUUAGGAUCGGUUCAAAUCGGGUGAAGGCUCAGGUCACGUCCCGUGGUUCAAGUCCAGACAACAGUGGUUAAUCAACAAGCUUCGUUCGGGUCAACAAUAGUCAACAGUUUGGUUCGCUUCGGUCAGAUUCAGUUUCGGUUGACUCGGUCAAGCGGGUCAACUCAGCGAGUCGACUCGGUCAAACCGAGUCAACUCAGUCAAACCCGGUCAACAACAGUAAACGUCGGUCAACUCAGUCCAUGUUCGACGACUCGGCGAGAGUUGUGGAAUAUUGUAGAAUGCACGCUAGCAAGCCACGUCUUGGAAACGACAUCAUCGAAGUCGUUGCAUUUCUAAGACAAAGCACGGUUGGAAUAGGAGGACCAUGAAGAGUCGAGUACUUAGUGGGCGUUCAGUUUCUAGAAAGACUUAGCUUAUUUGCUUCCGCUGUGCAAUGAAGAUACCAGUCCAGUCACGCCAAUGCUCUGAUAAUUUCGGGGUGUGAC
rnacentral:lncRNA from 1 species